GCCUGGCAGAGGUGGGAGCUCUUGCAGUCGUAGGGGAAUAGGUUUCCUGUUCCGGUUCUCGGGCUCUGGUUAGUCACGUGGAAGUGCCAUCACCUAGACAGUUUGCGCUUUCCGUUCACCAAAGCAUCUUCCCUUUGGAGAUACAGGUGCAGAUUUCGGCCGGUGACUCUGCCAUGCCGAACUUGCGGCCCAGGCCCCGCCGAGGCGCCGGACGGGGCGCCAGGGCAGCCGGGCGGGACGAGCUGGUGUCGCGGUCCUUGCAGAGCGCAGAGCACUGCCUGGGCGCCCAGGACUUCGGCACCGCCUAUGCCCACUACCUCCUCGUGCUCAGCCUGGCGCCGGAGCUGAAAGACGAUGUGAAGGAAACUUUUCAGUAUACGCUCUUCAGAUGGGCUGAAGAACUUGAUGCACUCAGUCGAACACAAGACCUACUUGGUUGCUAUGAGCAAGCCUUGGAACUGUUUCCUGAUGAUGAAGUGAUUUGCAAUAGUAUGGGGGAGCAUCUCUUCAGAAUGGGCUUCAGAGAUGAAGCAGCCGGGUAUUUUCGUAAAGCAGUGAAGCUAAACCCGGAUUUCAGUGAUGCAAAGGAGAAUUUUUAUCGUGUUGCAAACUGGUUGGUGGAGCGCUGGCACUUUCUCAUGCUUAAUGACACCAGGAGGAAUAUGAUUUAUAACGCAGCGAUCCAAAAGGCGGUUCGUUUGGGCUCCGGAAGCGUUUUGGACAUUGGAGCAGGAACUGGAAUACUAAGCAUGUUUGCUAAAAAAGCUGGAGCGCACUUGGUGUAUGCCUGUGAGUUAUCCAAGACCAUGUAUGAACUUGCCUGUGAUGUAGUGGCAGCAAACGAGAUGGAAGCAGGGAUCAAACUCUUACAUAUGAAGUCGCUUGACAUAGAAAUUCCAAAACACAUUCCUGAAAGAGUGUCCCUUGUUGUAACAGAAACUGUCGAUGCAGGUUUAUUUGGAGAAGGAAUUGUGGAGAGUUUGAUUCAUGCAUGGGAACAUUUGCUUUUGCAGCCAAAGACCAAAGGUGAAAAUGGUAAUUGUGAAAAAUAUGGGAAAGUUAUACCGGCAAGUGCUGUUAUAUUUGGGAUGGCAGUAGAAUGUGCAGAGAUAAGAAGACAUCAUAGGGUGGGUAUUAAGGACAUUGCUGGGAUCUGUUUGCCAACCAGUGUGAAAUUUCAGAGUCCAGCGUAUUCUUCUGUAGAUGCUGAAGAAACAAUUGAACCUUAUACAACCGAAAAGAUGAGUCGAGUUCCUGGAGGAUAUUUGGCUUUGACAGAGUGCUUUGAAAUUAUGACAGUAGAUUUCAACAAUCUUCAGGAAUUAAAAAGUCUUGCAACUAAAAAACCUGAUAAAAUUGGUAUCCCUGUUAUUAAAGAAGGCAUACUCGAUGCCAUUGUGGUUUGGUUUGUACUCCAGCUUGAUGAUGAACACAGUUUAUCCACAAGUCCUAGUGAGGAAACAUGCUGGGAACAGGCUGUCUACCCUGUACAUGACCUUGCAGACUACUGGAUAAAGCCUGGGGACCAGGUGAUGAUGGAAGUGUCUUGUCAGGAUUGUUACCUAAGAAUCCAGAGUAUCAGUGUCUUCAAUUCGGAGCAUGAAAUGGAUGUUGGGAAAAGUUUUACCAAGAAUAAAGACUUGCUGCCUUUAGGAAAUGAGGCUGAGCUCUGUAGUGCCCUGGCCAAUCUUCAGACCAGUAAACCAGAUGCUGUGGAGCAGACUUGUGUUUUGGAAUCCACAGAAAUUGCUUUGCUUAAUAACAUCCCAUACCAUGAAGGCUUUAAAAUGGCAAUGAAGAAAGUGUUGUCUUCACUGACUCUGGAGAAACGGGGUCAGGCCAUGGAUACCCAGUGUCAGAGUAACGAGAUGAGCUGUGAAAGUGGACAGAAUAAUUCUGCACAGAGCAUCCCUGAACCUUUGUAUGUGUUAGAUGUGUCUGAGGGCUUCUCUAUUCUGCCUAUAAUUGCUGGCACACUCGGGCAGGUUAAACCUUAUAGUUCUGUGGAGAAAGACCAGCAUCGUAUGACUCUGGACCUCAUAUCUGAAGCCAAUCACUUUCCUAAAGAAACACUUGAGUUUUGGUUGAGACAUGUGGAAGAUGAAUCCGCUGUGUUGCAAAGGCCAAAAUCAGACAAGUUGUGGAGUAUAAUUGUACUGGAUGUCAUUGAGCCAUCUGGGCUCCUUCAGCAGGAAAUAAUGGAAAAAGCGGCAAUAUCCAGGUGUUUGCUACAGUCUGGAGGUAAGAUCUUUCCCCAGUACAUGCUGAUGUUUGGGUUGCUCGUGGAAUCGCAGACACUGGUGGAGGAGAACGCUGUGCAGGGAACAGAACGAACUCUUGGAUUUAAUAUCGCACCUUUUAUUAACCAGUUUCGGGUAAGUGUUUUGAAGAGAAGUUCAACCACUUGGCUGUCGCCCACAGUCUGCCUUAUCUCUCUGUAGUUUUAUAGUCACUAUGUUUAGCUGGACUGGGAUGGUAAUCAGUUUUCUGUAGCAAAGGAACUUACUACUGGUAAAAAUCAACCUAGGGGUUAGUAUAGCUGAGGAAUUCUGUUGUUCCUACUGACAAAAGUCUAUAGAUUUUGCUCGGAACCACUGUUGUAAAUGGAAAAUAGGGUACUGGGUUUAGUCUUAUGAAAAAGUGUGCUCCUUGUCUAUAAAAGCAGCCGCCAGAAGGAGACAUCUGUUCUAAACAUGAACCCUUAAUCACAGUGAGACUUCCGGCUGGCAGGUGUCAGGUGUGAGCAGUUAACGUCUGGGCGGUCAGGCUGCAGCGAGCCGGAAUGGAGGAGCCUAGGAAAGGGGUUAGUUGCUCUUUGGGAAACAAGGAUUUAGUGCUGGCAGAGCUACUAGCAGCAAAAUAAAAUUUGUGAGUUAUAACUGUGGGAGUGGAUGGAAUGUCUAGGGAAGAGGUGUGGGGUUGGAAAUAGGUGGGAUCUGCUGUGUAAGCCAAAGCGACAUUUUGGGAAGUGGGAUGUUGAGUACCGAAUUAAAGGAGUGAUAUCUAAACCUUCUAUCAAAAGGCUAUAGAUGGUAAGCUCUUGAAUACGCAUUGUUAGAUCUUCCAUGAACAAUACUUGCUAAACAAAUAUAAAUUUGUUGAGUAAAUGAUUUUUUCAGAGCAGACUAAGGUUUUAGUUUAUUUACUUAGUUUUUCUGGAGAGUUUAAUAAACAAAAUACACUUAGCAGAAGACAGAGAAGUUUAAAUUAUUUCUUUGUGUGGUCCCAAAAUACUACCAUCUCCUAUCUUUCUAGCUUAUUCUCUCCCGAUCCUGACAUCAGCAAUUCUUCGAUUCCAUCAGAAUCUAUGAUAUUUUAAUCCUGCCAUCUUUUCACCCUGCCUCCCAUCUCAUAGCCUCCUUUCCUUCACAGCUUAUGUUUCAUGGUUGAUAUAUUUUUCACAUAUCAUGGAGCUAACAUACAAAUUGCCGAUAAAGAGACAAGAGAUGGACAGUAAACAAAGGAGUAGAAAGAUUAGUAUGAUAGAUGGUGAGAAGUGAGAAGGCUAGAGGAGAAUGGGAGUUGGAGGGAUGGGAUAUUCUAUUUUAUUUAGGUAAUGCCUAAGGAAAGGACUCAAGGAUAAGUGAUAUUUAAGCAGAGACCAGAGAGAAAUAAGGAAGCAAACCAUAUACAAGUCAAAGGAUCAACAAGUGCAAAGACCUGAGGCAAGAGCAUGAUUGGAGUAUUCCGAAACAGCAGGAAACCAUGAGGGAGAGUCGGAUGAAGGAUGCAGUGAGAAAAGUAUUAGGAGCCAGAUCCUGUAGAGCCUCCUGUAGAGGUCGUGGUGAAGGUUUUGGCUUUUACUCUGAAAGGUGUGGAAAACAACUGGAGGGCAUCGACCAGAGGAGUGAUAAGGUGUGACUUGUUUUGAAAGGCUUGCUAUGGCUGCUGUAUUGGGAGUAGACCACCAUGGAGAGCCGGCAGAGGCAUACGGUUACUGCAGUAAUCCAGGAGAGAGGUGGUAGUGACUUAGACUAGAGUGGUAGCAAUGGAUGUGUUGCAAAGGGGUCAGAUGGUUGAUGUAUCUUGAAGGUAGGUUUUGUGAUAGAUGGGACAUGGGGUAUGAGAAAGCGCCUGGAAGGAUAGUUGCCAUUUACUGAUAUGGGGAAAAUAACAGGAGGAUCAGGUUGUGCUUCACGUUUUUAUGGGGUCAUUAAGCAGUUGGAUAAGAAUUCAGAGAAAUAGCUAGCCUGGAGAUGUAAAUCGGGCAGUCAGAUUUGGUAGAUGAUAUUUAAAGCCAGAAUAAUGGGAUGCAAUCACCUUGGGGAUGUGUAGAAAGAGAAGAGGGCUGAGAACUAAAUUCUAGAGAACUCACAAAGUUAUGAGCUCUACAUUGGAAAUCUAAGAAGGAAUUAGCAAAGGUGACAGGAGUGUCCAGUAGGCUAGGUUAAGAAACAAGUGAGGACAGAUUAUGAGGGAUGGGUACAGCUGUGUGGGGAUUAGAGUGCAGGUGAUGAGAGGUGACACAGGAAUCUAGGGCUGUUCUUCUGGUGACUGAUACAAAUAGGGAUACAGGGCAGGAGUCCUGGAAAUGGCAUGGCAUUGCUGUUUUUAUGUGGAGGAAAGGUUGGAUGCCUUCAAGGAUGCCCAGGGAGAGGUUGAUAUAUGUGUCCUUUCUCACCAUGAACAGUUGCUCUCUAAUAUUUAAAGGAAAGAGAACACUUUUUAAACAGUUUCCUUUCUAUUUCAAAUGAGAAGGCUAAAAGUUAUUAGUAGGAAGUGUCCAUUGCUACUAAAAUUGAUGGAACAGUUUAUAGCAGUGGUUCUCAACCUUGACUGUACUCAGAACUACCGGUAUCUGGAUCCCAACUCCAGAUGGAUCUGAGGUGUGGCCUGAGCAGUUGGACUUUUUAAAAGCUCCUCAGGUGAUUUUAAUUUGCAGUCAAAGUUGAGAACCACUGCCUUCUAGAUAAAUAACCUAUUUUCAAAAUGAAAUCCACUAUUAGCUGUUUGGCUGAAUUUGGCAUAUUUGCUCAAACAGUUCAAUAAUUAAUGUUGUACAGUAAGUCCCCUACAUAUGAACCUUCAAGUUGCGAACUUUCAAAGAUGCGAACGUGCGUUCCCAUGUCCAGUCACUUAAGUUAGUUCAUGUGUCUGGCGUACGUUGUCACGUGCGUGCAUCCUCUACAAGUGGUUGUGCUUUUGUGUACUUUACAGUACUGUAUAGAGUACAGUGGUACAGUAUCUUUAUUUCAAGCCCAGAUGUCUGGAAGCAAGCGUAAAAGCAGCGGUGAUGUAGCUGGUACUGUUAAGAAGGCACCAAGCGAUAACGAUGGAAACAAAAGAGAAAACAGUUGAAAGUGGAGUGAGGCGAAAAGAUGGUCGACGUCACUCAUUCUUAUACCGUGAAUCGUUCAACCAUCAGCAUGAUUCUAAAGAACAAGGACAAGAUCGUGGAACAUGUGAGGUCUGCUGUGCCGAUGAUGUCAAUAAUAUCGAAGCAGCAGCGUGGGAAAGUGAUGGAGGAGAUGGAGAAACUUCUCAGCGUGUGGAGGCAGGAUCGGCAUCAGUGUCGAGUCCCCCUCAGCUUAAUGCUCAUGCAAGAGAAAGUUAGAAGCCUUUAUGAAGACUUGAAGAGGAAACAUGGCGAAGAAUCAGAGGGCACAUCUUUUAAUGCCAGCCAUGGCUGGUUUCGUCGGUUCAAGGCUAGAGCCAACCUUCACAGUGUAAAAGUGGCAAGGCAGUGAGUACGGAUACGGUAGCUGCCCGGGAAUUUCCUGAAUUCUCUUCGACCCAGAGAAAGGACAAAGAGAGACAAGAGGAAGAAGAGACUGAAGAACGGAAGAGAUUCACAGUGCAGGAAGUGGCAAGGGGAUCUUCUUUAUUUGGGGGGGCACUGUUAGUUUUUGAGGCAGAGGACUCGAAUGUAGAACGGUACCACGAAGGUUGCAGCAGCCAUUCAGAAUGCAAUCCAGUGCUACUGUUCAUCUGUGAUGAGAGAAAAAGAGCUACUACCCAGACAUUACUGGAUCAUUUUUUCAAGGUACCUAUACGUGUAUUUUUGGACCUAUCCUCGCUGCCCUGUAUACCUUUAAGCAAACCAGUGGAACUCUUAAGACUAGACUUAAUGACGCCAUAUUUGAAC